rnacentral:tRNA from 1 species
GGGCGCGUAGCUCAGUUGGUUAGAGCACUUCACUGAUAAUGAAGAGGUCCGUGGUUCAACUCCACGCGCGCCCACCA